GGGGGGUGACUAGUGAGGGAGGGGGUGACUAGUGACAGAGGGAGGGGGUGACUAGUGACAGAGGGAGGGGGUGACUAGUGACAGAGGGAGGGAGAUGGUGACUAGUGACAGAGGGAGGGAGAUGGUGACUGUCACUAGUCACUCCCUCCCUAACUCUGUCACUAGUCAUCCCCUCCCUCAGUCACCAGUCACCCCCUCCCUCUGUCACUGUGUCACCACAUCCCUCCCUCUGUCACUAGUCACUCCCUCCCUCACUCUGUCACCAGUCACCCCCUCCCUCACUAGUCACCCACCC